rnacentral:tRNA from 1 species
GUGGCUGUAGUUCAGUUGGUAGAGCACAGGUUUGUGGUUCCUGGUGUCGUGGGUUCAAGCCCCAUCAGCCACCCCA